rnacentral:antisense_RNA from 1 species
CAGCCAACGCUUUACAACGACGCUGUGCGGGGCACUUCGUGUGUGUCAUCCCGUCUCAUCCUCGGGUGAUGGGAACUGUUCAUUCGGGAAAAUUGCAAACAACUAAAUACCCCUCACCAGGAGCUGGCCCAUUAUAGCAACUCUGAGACCUCUCUACCACAGGCUCUUAGAAUGGGACACCGCCGCCCGCCCCUCGGGCACCGGACACAGGCGCGGCUGAGGACUGACAGCCCCCUGGAAGCCAUUCGGGAGUCCUAGAUUUUGCUGAAGGAAGAAGGGGCUGGAGAAAAUAAAAGGGCGGGGAGUCUGGAGUGUGAUAACUGUGGCUUCGUCUCAUUUCCACCCCCCAAGACUAAAACUUCCCUCAUCUGCUCAGCGGGAAGAAACAAGUUCUUGGCCAUGGUGUGACAGUGACACCGAGAGAAGCCCGAUUCACUCCCAG